AGUGAAGAGCGGGAUGAGUGAGACAGCGAUUCCAGUCUGAUGUCACCAUGCGCACCACUCCCUUCCACUUGCUGCAGGGACUCAUGAAAUCGGCGAACGUUUUGAAUGUGCUCUUCGCGACGUGCUGAUCGGCUUCUCGAAGGACUGCUCCUGCCCCGGAUCAAGAGGACAAGGCGGAUCAGCGUUAUCACUCGGGUCUCGGCACGCCCCGUUCUCUUCACAUCGCCGCUGACACGGAUCACUUACUGACUAGAGGCUGAGAAGCCAACGCCCUGGGCCGAGGGGUCUGCGACGCCUCUAGAAAUACAGCUGGGAAGUGAAGGCCAAGGACAACUAACACAACCCUGAAAGAAAAAGCAUUCAGUCAAUGAAAAUCAAAAUAGGAAAG